rnacentral:rRNA from 1 species
AUUGAACGCUGGCGGCAGGCCUAACACAUGCAAGUCGAGCGAGCGGCGGACGGGUGAGUAAUGUAUGGGGACUGCCCGAUAGAGGGGGAUAACUAAUGGAAACGGUGGCUAAUACCGCAUACUAUCGGAUAACCCAUAUGGGAUUAGCUAGUAGGUGGGGUAAAGCCUCACCUGGGCGACGAUCUCUAGCUGGUCUGAGAGGAUUAUCUGCCACAUUGGGGUUUGGACACGGCCCCGACCCCUACGGAGGCAGCAUUGGGGAAUCUUGCACAAUGGUCGCAAGCCUGAUGCAGCCAUGCCGCGUGUAUGAAGAAGGCCUUAGGGUUGUAAAGUACUUUCAGCGGGGAGGCGUUACCCGCAGAAGAAGCACCGGCUAACUCCGUGCCAGCAGCAGCGGUAAUAC